GUAUCAAUCGUUGCCCCCGGUAGCUCAGUGGUAGAGCACCUGCAUUUGCGUGUGUAAGGCCGAGGGAGCAUUGUCAGUGUUGUCGCUGGUUCGAAUCCUGCCCGAUGGCU